rnacentral:rRNA from 1 species
GACGAACGCUGGCGGCGUGCCUAAUACAUGCAAGUGAAGUUCAGUGGCGGACGGGUGAGUAACACGUGGGUAACCUGCCCUCCUUUUUGGGAUAAGCCUUGGAAACGGGGUCUAAUACCGAAUAAAGGGGGAUGGGCUCGCGGCCUGUUAGCUUGUGGGUGGGGGGCUGGCGUACAAAGGCUGUGCCGGGUAGCCGGCAAGAGUGGGGGGCCGGCGACAUUGGGACUGAGUUACGGCCCAGGCGAGUACGCGGGGCAGAAUGUUGGGAUAGUGCGCAAUGGGUGAAAGACUGAUGCAGCGACGCCGAGUGAGGUAUGAAGGCUUUCGGUUUGUAAACCUCUUUCGCUAUAGAACGGGUAUGUGGAGAAGAAGCGCCGGCUAACUACGUGCCAGCAGCCGCGGUAAUUC